AGAAUCUAAAUAUUACUACAGUUCUAACAAAAACAACCAGGAAUUCUUGUGGCGCUUUAGAGACUAACACAUUUAUUUGGGCAUAAGCUUUUGUGGGCUAGAACCCACUUCAUCAGAUGCAUGGAGUGGAAAAUACAGUAGCAGGGGUGUGUCUGUG